UCGGACCAGGCUUCAUUCCCCC
rnacentral:ncRNA from 8 species